rnacentral:lncRNA from 1 species
AGAGAAUAUUGGCUAAUUUUAACACUACAAAUAUAUAAACCACAUAAAACACACAAAACAAUCAAUCAAACCAACAAAAAAACAAAUCCAAAAUCAUAAUGUCCAGUCUAAUUAUUACAAACCGAAACAGAAAAAUGCAAAAAUAUAAAUCCUAUUCUAAACUAGUCCUAGGGUAAACUCCGUUGUUUUACCCGAUGCCUUGGACCUUCAUCACAAUCAUUUUUCGCCAACAUAGUACGUCGGGGCAUUCCUCGGUGAAUAAAUACAAAUACCUCGGGACAUUUCCCAGCCAAAUGAAUACACUUUUCAAAUACUGUAAACAAGACAUUCAAAAAAUAUUUCAAACAUUCCAACAAUCCACCAAUUCUACAUUUGCCUACCUAGCUUACUGUUUGCCUAUCCGCUCGACGACAUAUCACAUUCAACAUCAACAAUGAAUCAAAAUACCAUAAUAUUCACUUUUACCAAUUUCGAUUCCCGCCCCAACUUCAUUCUUAUCAAUCAAUGAUUAACACAUGCUUCAAUUAUCAACUCACUUUUCAACAUUCAAAUCCAACAUCAACCAAUACGCAAUCAAGAUUCAAACGUACCAAACACACAAAUCAUUUACGAUAACGUAAAAAUUAAAGCGAGAGAAAAUAAAAUUGGACCUCGAUAUUAUUUUUAUUCGAAUAUUAUCCUGUUGAACAAAACAGAGUCCGCGCCGAAAACCCAGAGCCAACCUCCACGAAUCAACUCAGCCUCAGUAUUUCACUUUUUGCUCUGCUUUUCACCAGUUCGAACAAAAAUUGCGCAGAAUAGACGAAACAGCCCGAAACCAAAACGAAACCGAGAACCCGUGUGAUGAUUUCCGACGAGACCUCGCCGGACUCAGCUCGAAUGGACGGUUUAGGACUAACGAGCUAGUGAGAUACCAUUUUCGGAAGGAUUUCGCCUAAAACUCAACAACACUGACGAGAUGUCUGGGGAUUUAGGCACUGGUUGGGUUAUUUUGAUGAGCCUUCAUAGUUUCUCGAUGAUUUUGUGUGUUGUGUGUGCGUAAAGAAGAAGAGCCCAGAUCCCCUUUCUUUCUUCUCAUCAAAUCGCUCCUCUCCCCAUCUGUGUGGUCUCACGAACUCUCUGUGUGUGGAUGAAUUUUGGUGAGCUUUUCUGUAAGUGCCUCGUCUACGGCGGUGGUGUGCGCGUAUGGUGAGAGAAUUGUGUGGGGUUGAAGAUGAGUGAUGUCUAUGUACUAUGGGAAUUUCAGUGAGUGAAUUCUUGUUUUGGAAAUGGAAAAGUGGUACUAUGUAUGUGUGUGUGUGAAUUCGUGAGGGAAUUUCUGGUGGUGAGUGUGUAUUUUCUGUUGAGGAAAAUAUUCCCUGUGGGCCCUCAUUCCUUUUAGCUGUAUGUGUAAUUUUGUUAUGGAAAAGAAGAAAAAACGUGAGAGAGAAAAUGGAUUGGGGUGACGUGGGUUAGGGUUGGGGGUGUGGGGUGGUGAGUAGGGAGGGGUAGAGAUAGGUUAGGAUGAUUAAAAUAAGAUAAAAUUUGUUAAGAGUUGUUAUUUUUUAUCAUUUUAUGGAGGGAUAAUCACAUGGGUGAGAGCGUAUGACAACGCGAGGUAAAAAUGAAUAAAUUGAAUUUUUGGGAGGAACAAAAUUACGUGUCUACUUAUAUGAUGCAUUUAUUAUUCUAUCUUCAUCGGAAUUAUGUGUUUGUUGUGAAGAACAAGUCAAUAAGGUACCAAAAAAUAAAUGAAAAAAAGUUAAAGAGCAAGAGAAAGAAAAAUGUUGCGGGUUUGGCCGG